AUACUUACCUGGCAGGGAAGAUAUCAUGAUCAUGAAGGUGAUUUUCCCAGGCCAGGCUCAUCCAUUGCACUCCGGAUGUGUUGACCCUUGUGAUUUCCCCAAAUAUGGGGAAGUCAACUGCAUAAUUUGUGGUAGUGGAGGACUACAUUCGCGCUCUCCCCUG